CAGCCGUAAACUAUGCUCGCUAGGUGUCAGGCAUGGCGCGACCGUGUCUGGUGCCGCAGGGAAGCCGUGAAGCGAGCCACCUGGGAAGUACGGCCGCAAGGCUGAAACUUAAAGGAAUUGGCGGGGGAGCACAACAACGGGUGGAGCCUGCGGUUUAAUUGGACUCAACGCCGGACAACUUCACCGGGGGACGACAGCAAUAUGUAGGCCAGGCUGAAGACCUUGCCUGAAUCGCUGAGAGGUGGUGCAUGGCGUAGACGUCU
rnacentral:rRNA from 1 species